rnacentral:rRNA from 1 species
UACGAGGGUGCAAGCGUUAUCCGGAUUCACUGGGUUUAAAGGGUGCGUAGGCGGGCAGGUAAGUCAGUGGUGAAAUCUUUGGGCUUAACCCGAAAACUGCCAUUGAUACUAUCUGUCUUGAAUAUUGUGGAGGUUUGCGGAAUAUGUCAUGUAGCGGUGAAAUGCUUAGAUAUGACAUAGAAUACCAAUUGCGAAGGCAGCUGGCUACGCGAAUAUUGACACUCAGGCACGAAAGCGUGGGGAUCAAACAGG